CUGAUGCUCCUCACCCGGAUUAUCCUCUCUAAUCCUCAGCCCUGUGAAGUGGGCACUGCCCUGAACAUUUUGUAAAUAAGGGACCCGAGGCUCAGAGAGGUGAAGUAACUUUCCAGACAGCCCAGCUCGUCAGCGGCCAGCAUUUGAAGUCACACUCCAGAGCCUGUUUUUAACAUAAUAGCCGCUGUGACCGCAUAACCAACGUGUGUGUUGAAGUGAUCAAAUAACCAUGGAGUGUCUUUGAUGUCCAGGACUUUUGAGAAAUACCGAAAAAUAUGAGGCAAGGCCCCUGCCUUCAAAGAGCUUGCAAGUUUUUGGGGGAGACUUAGGCACAAAUUAACCAACAUCUGUUGAGCACUUGCUGCUUGCCAGGACCCUGCCCUUCCCCUCGUGUCUUCCUCCCUUCCAGGACUCACCCCCUCACUUACCCUCCCCCUCACUUACCCUCCCCCUCAAUUCUCACAGCAACCCUGGGAGGUAGGCCUUAUGGUUUCUGUUUUGCAAAUGAAGAACCUGAGAUUGAAGAAGAGUAGAGAUUGGAGGAUCAGAUCCUGAGAGGUCCCAUGUGCUUUCCAAUAACAGUUCAGUAUAUUAGAAGACAGUGUGGCAUCCACGGCCAAGUACUACUAGUUGAUAGACUGGAUGCUGCUAUGGUAAUCUGCCUCAGGAAAAUGCCGGACUGUUGUUUGCAAGCUGGUUAAGUGAGCAAAUCUUGGGAAGAUUUCAAGUCAUGGAAUAAGGCCAUACCCUGUGGGUAGGGUAUAAAGGUUUCCCUCUAUAUAGUAGGUGUUCUUAUUAUCAGUCAUUCAAAGAAAAAGAGAAUCCUCACCAGAAAAUCUUGGAACAUAGAACAGAUGGAAGGUGGCACUUCUGGAUAUGCCUUUUUACAUCUGAACUUGGAAGAGUUAAGAAUUGUUGAAGGCCCUUCUCACUGAUCAGGGGAAAUAGCUUCUGUCACAGAGCUGCCUACUCCAGGAGAACCAAAAAUGAAAGUAAACACUCAUAUUUUGUAAGUCUGUUCCUCAACUUCCAUCAAUCAAGUUUAAUCUAAAUCAAGGAUUCAAACUGAGAAGCAUUUAAGGACCAAGAAAAAGUUAAUUAGCCCAGUAUAAGUCAACAAGAAAUGGUAAGCAGUAUGGAGGAAAAGAAGUGCCACACCCUUCUAGGCAUCCAAAUUCAAGCAUUUACAAUGUACUUCAUGAAGCAGUACCCUAUACAGCACUAAUAACAGCCCAAACUUGCUUGACAUUUCUACAUAACACAUUAUUCAUUAAUUCAGAAGAAAAAUAGAAUUCUUAAAACUCCUAACUUUAUUUUUAAUUAAUAUAAAGGAGGAACCAACAACAACAAAAAAUUGUGUGGGAGUUAGAAAAUAAGGACUAGGCGCCUGGGCGCGGUGGCUCACGCCUGUAAUCCCAGCACUUUGGGAGGCCGCGGUGGGCAGAACACGAGGUCAGGAGAUUGAGGCCAUCCUGGCUAACACGGUGAAACCCCGUCUUUACUAAAAAAUAGAAAAAAUUAGCUGGGCGUGGUGGCGGGCGCCUGUAGUCGCAGCUACUCUGGAGGCUUGAGGCAGGAGAAUGGCGUGAACCUGGGAGGCGGAGCUUGCAGUGAGCCAAGAUCGCGCCACUACACUCCAGCCUGGGCGACAGAGCGACACUCUGUCUCAAAAAAAAAAAAAGGAAAAAAAGGACUAGGCAGGCAGAUGUGGGGUGGGGCAAACAAAACAUGGCAGCCAGCAGACCAGUCUAUUUCAGCAUAGUCUCUGCUGCAGUAUUUAAGAAAUAGGUAGAGCCAGCCAGGCGCGGUGGUUCACGCCUGUAAUCCCAGUACUUUGGGAGGCCGAGGCGGGCGGAUCACCUGAGGUCUGGAGUUCGAGACCAGCCUGACCAACAUGGAGAAACCGCGUCUCUACUAAAAAUACAAAAUUAGCCAGGCGUGGUGGCACAGGCCUGUAAUCCCAGCUACUUGGGAGGCUGAGGCAGGAGAAUCACUUGAACCCAGAAGGCGGAGGUUGUGGUGAGCCCAGAUCGUGCCAUUGCACUCCAUCCUGGGCAACAAGAGUGAAAUUCCCCAUCUCAAAAACAAAGAGAUAGGUAGAGCUGGCCGUGGUGGCUCACGCCUGUAAUCCCAGAAGGCUGAGUUCGGUGGAUCACUUGAGAUCAAGAGUUUGAGACUAGCCUGGCCAACAUGGUGAAACCCCAUCUCUGCUAAAAAAAAAAAAAAAAAUACAAAAAUUAGUCGGGCAUGGUGGCAGGCAUCUGUAAUCGCAGCUACUUGGGAGGCUGAGGCAGGAGAAUCGCUUGAACCCCAGAGGCAGAGGUUGCAGUGAGUUGAGAUCGCGUCACUGCAGUCCAACGACAGAGUAAGACUCUGUCGCAAAAAAAAAAAAAAAAAAAAAGUAGAAAGCAGAACGCUUCUUCCCGGUGCCAAGGGGGAUUUAUGAAAGAUCCCCAAGGAAGAGUUGAAUAUCAGAAUGAGGGUCAUUUUGGCAGUCCCAUCCCUGUAUGGAGACAGUCCUUUCGUUGUUACUUUUGGCAGAUGAGGAUUUGAGUUUAAGAGACCUGGUUGGGGGGGAGGGGGGAGGGAUAGCUUUGGGAGAUAUACCUAAUGCUAAAUGACGAGUUAAUGGGUGCAGCACACCAGCAUGGCACAUGUAUACAUAUGUAACCAACCUGCACAUUGUGCACAUGUACCCUAAAACUUAAAGUAUAAUAAUAAUAAAAUAAAAAAAAAAGAGAGACCUGGUGGAUUUCCGUACAACUUCAUAAUUUCCCCCUAUCCAAGACCCAUGGUUCCAUUUUUGUCACCGUGGCCACAGUGGCUGAAAUGGCUCACUUCAUCUUUUGCACUAAACAGCCUUCAGCCCCACACUGCACCGCUAAAUGGACAAGUUCUUUUUUCCCUAGUGUCUUAAAUUCAUGGCCUCAGUCUGAGGCCUUUAGUUUUAUACUGCUUUGGGAGAGUCCUCUUUACAGUCUUAGAGAUAUACAUAUACCUCUUACUGUUUACCACCACUAAUUUAAUAGCAAGAAAGAAACUGGAAAUCUUGUAGGAAUACUCUGUUCCUUUUUUUGUUUUUUGAGACGAAGUCUCACUCUUGUCACCAGGCUGGAGUGCAAUGGCGCAAUCUUGGGAUCUUGGUUCACUGCAACCUCUGCCUCCCAGGUUCAAGUAAUUCUCCUGCCUCAGCCUCCCCAGUAACUGGGAUUAUAGGUGCCUGCCAACACGCCUGGCUAAUUUUUAUAUUUUUAGUAGAGACGAGGUUUCACCAUGUUGGCCAGGCUGGUCUCGAACACCUGAACUCAGGUUAUCUGCCUGCCUCGGCCUCCCAGUGUGCUGGGAUUACAAGUGUGAGCCACUGCGCCUGGCCAAGGAACACUCUUUGUUCUAUGCUACCUACUAGGACAGCUAGUCUACUCAGUUACCCCAAAACCAAAAGGAUAGUAACUCAACAAGCUCAGAAUACACCAUUCUGCUUGCAGCCAUUGUUUUCACCACUACCCCAUUUCCCCCUGCACACAUAGCUCAUUACCUUGUCACAUGUACACUUACUAUAGUCACAGCAGGAGCUAGAAUCUGGAGAUGUUACAUGCCACACAAGAGGUCAGUGAGAAGCACAAAACCAUACAUUGCAAAUGGGUAACAUAUCAGUGUAGCCAUCCAAGCAGAGGAUUAGGUAUGGCCUUCAUCUCAUGUUCCCAUUAGGCUCAGAUGGGCUAGAUAAUGGGGUUUUGCUCCUGUUUCCAAUUCAAAGAUAGUCAACCUGGGAGCUUUCUAACUCUAUCAUAUGUAUUUCAUUUGUUUCACCAGUUACUCAUUUGAUCAACCCAGGGAAGACCAUAUCAUGAAUGAAACACAGCCCAAGUAUGCUUUAACCAUAACGUGGGAGUGCAUAAUUCAGGCUACCAAGACCAUUUAACAGAAUCCAGUGGAAUGAGGGAAGUCUGGACUACAGGAGUUAGUGGGGGAAUUCUCAGUCACUGCAACCAUGCUUCUAAACAAAGGCCUUCACCAAGAACCUAGGGCAAUCUUAUUCCAUCUGCCAGAACUUAUAGGGAUAUCACUAAAUUAUGCUUAGUCAAAAUUGGGUAAUUUGUAGUUUAUAAAUACUAUAAAACUGAUAUUUAAAUCUAGGUCUACUUAAUUCCUAGCUUCUGUUCUUAAGUGCUAGAUUAUUUUGAUUCAUUUAUUUUGUUCAAAAUCUUGACGUUAUAGGAAAGGAUGGGGAUGAGGAGGAUGAUGAGGCAGGAAAAUGCAGAACUGUUUCAUAGUCCCAGCGCUGAACCUUUGUACAGGCUGUUUCUUCUUCAUAUAAAGCACUUCUUGGCCAGGCGUGGUGGCUCACACCUAUAAUCCCAGCUCUUUGAGAGGCUGAGGUGGGCGGGUCACUUGAGGUCAGGAGUUCGAGACAAGCAUGGCCAACAUGGUGAAACGCAAUCUCUACUAAAAAUACAAAAAAAUUAGCCCGAUGUGGUAGUGUGCCUGUAGUCCCAGCUACUUG
rnacentral:lncRNA from 1 species